AACGAACGCUGGCGGCGUGCCUAACACAUGCAAGUUGAGCGAUGAAGUCUGGUGUUUUCACCCACUGGAAGAGCAGCGAACGGGUGAGUACCGCGUGGGCGAUCUGCCUUCGAGCGGGUGACAACAUUAGCAAACGAAUGCUAAUACCGCAUAACAACUUUAACAAUAAGUUUUAAGUUUGAAAGAAGCUAUUGCAUCACUCAAAGAUGAUCCCGAGGUGUAUUAGCUAGUUGGUGAGGUAAAGGGGCUCGAGGGCGAUGAUACAUAGCCGAACUCAGAGGGUGAGCUGCCACCUUGGGACUGGGACACGACCCAACCUCCUAGGGGAGGGAGCCGGAGGGAAUCCUCGGGAAUGGACGAAAGUCUGACCAAGGAACGCCGCGUGAGUGCAGAAGGUUGUCGUGUCGUGAAACUCUUGUGGUAGAGAAGAUCGUUGGUGAGUGUGGAAAGCUCAGCAAGUGACGGUAACGGCACAGAAAGCGACGGCUAACUACGUG
rnacentral:rRNA from 1 species